AUGCUCGCUUUGGCAGCACAUACAUGAAAAUUGGAAUAAUACAGAGAAGAUUAGCACAGCCCCUGUGCAAAGAUGACACUCAAAUUUGUGAAGUGGUGCAUAUUAAA
ensembl:snRNA U6 U6 spliceosomal RNA